rnacentral:rRNA from 1 species
GAUGAACGCUGGCGGCGUGCCUAACACAUGCAAGUCGAGCGAUUCUCUUCGGAGAAGAGCGGCGGACGGGUGAGUAACGCGUGGGUAACCUGCCCUGUACACACGGAUAACAUACCGAAAGGUAUGCUAAUACGAGAUAAUAUACUUUUAUCGCAUGGUAGAAGUAUCAAAGCUUUUGCGGUACAGGAUGGACCCGCGUCUGAUUAGCUAGUUGGUAAGGUAACGGCUUACCAAGGCGACGAUCAGUAGCCGACCUGAGAGGGUGAUCGGCCACAUUGGAACUGAGACACGGUCCAAACUCCUACGGGAGGCAGCAGUGGGGAAUAUUGCACAAUGGGCGAAAGCCUGAUGCAGCAACGCCGCGUGAGCGAUGAAGGCCUUCGGGUCGUAAAGCUCUGUCCUCAAGGAAGAUAAUGACGGUACUUGAGGAGGAAGCCCCGGCUAACUACGUAGCCAGCAGCCGCGGUAA